rnacentral:rRNA from 1 species
GACGAACGCUGGCGGCGUGCUUAACACAUGCAAGUCGAACGGAAAGGCCCUGCUUUUGUGGGGUGCUCGAGUGGCGAACGGGUGAGUAACCCGUGAGUAACCUGCCCUUGACUUUGGGAUAACUUCAGGAAACUGGGGCUAAUACCGGAUAGGAGCUCCUGCUGCAUGGUGGGGGUUGGAAAGUUUCGGCGGUUGGGGAUGGACUCGCGGCUUAUCAGCUUGUUGGUGGGGUAGUGGCUUACCAAGGCUUUGACGGGUAGCCGGCCUGAGAGGGUGACCGGCCACAUUGGGACUGAGAUACGGCCCAGACUCCUACGGGAGGCAGCAGUGGGGAAUAUUGCACAAUGGGCGGAAGCCUGAUGCAGCAACGCCGCGUGCGGGAUGACGGCCUUCGGGUUGUAAACCGCUUUCGCCUAUGACGAAGCGUGAGUGACGGUAAUGGGUAAAGAAGCACCGGCUAACUACGUG